rnacentral:rRNA from 1 species
AUGGCGAUGGAGUUGGGGGAGAGGGAGCGCUGGUUAUAUAGGAUAGGAGGAGGCGAGGAGGGAGAAGGGGUGGGUUUGUCGCGCAGCUUGGGGAAGAAGGAGCACGACAGGCUGGCGUUUGGCUGGGGCCAGCGUGCGUGCUUGGGCUCCGGAUAUUUUGUUUUUUCUCGAUUAUUAUUUUUAGAUUUUGUUUUUACUGCGGCUUUUUUUUUGGAAUAUUGCCGCAUUUAUUUAAUCAAACGCAUUCGGAAUGUCAUCCGAGAUUACAUCAAGCACACAAUCUGGGGUGACCCCCAACCAAACAUUGCAAAGUUCAUCUCCUACCCCUAUCUUAGCAAGUCUAUGAGCGACAACAUUCGCGGAACGACGAACCCAAGUGACUUUGGAGCUAACGAGCGAAGAAAGCAGCGUCUUCAGCUCUUGAAUCAACGGGCCAGUGGCUGA